GGACAGUGGGAACCUGCCUCUGUCCUCUAGGCUGGGGCACAGAGCAAAGUGGGCAGAUGUUUGUGAGAUGAAUUACAGAGAGUGCAAGGAUGAGCCCCAGCUGCCUCCAGUGAGGCCCGGGAGUGAUGGCUUCUCACUGUGCCCUGCAGUGCCUGGACCGGCGCUUAGGGAGUGCUCCCUAAAGAACCCAUCCAGCUUGCCCAUGGACCCUAGAAGGAUGAGGGACACGUACAGCAGAGAUGCCCACCAGCUUGCCAACCCCUGAGUGAGCCCAGCCAAGGUCAGGCCCUCUUCCCUGGCUCCAGCUCCACCGUCACUCAGAGGAGUGACCUAAACAAACGCUGCAGGUGAGGAUCCCGGGCCACUGACAUGGAUGUUUAUGGAAGAGGACUCUUGGCAUCAGCACCUGGGCAAGAGACAGGGUCUCACUAUGUUGCCCAGCUUGGUCUCAAACUUCUGGCCUCAAAUGAUCCUCCCACCUUGGUCCCCAAAUCUGUGGAUUACAGAUGCAAGCCACCGCGCCCAGCCUCGAGGGAGACACUGCUUUGGAGAAGCCUCCCAGGGCUCUUCUUACCUGCGACGAGUCAUAAAACUCCUACUGAUCCAAACCUGUGUUCUCAUGGAGAGCUGUCUGAGAUUCACCAGAGCAGCAGAGGAGUCGUGACCUCCAGGGCUCAGCAGAGCGUGAGCCUGGCCAUUGCCCAGCGGCCCGCCCAUCCGUGCUGUGGUUACACGGUCUUCAUGCUGGUUGGGGAGCCCCGAGAACUCGGGCUUGCUUGAUCCUCCAAACACGUGAACACGUGUUGAGCACUGGCUGUGAAUGCGGCAGCUGUGAUGGGGGCUGAACUUAGGGCCAAGGAGCCAGGCUCCACUCCACUGUGACGCCAGGUGUGGGGCUCGGAUGGAGUUUCAUUCUUGUCGCCCAGCCUGGAGUGCGGUGGCACCAUCUCGGCUCACCGCAACCUCUGCCUCCUGGGUUCAAGCGAUUCUCCUGCCUCGGCCUCCUGAGUAGCUGAGAUUACAGGCAUGUGCCACCAUGCCCAGCCGCAAUUAAAUUUCAAUGUGAGUUUUGGAGAGGACGUUCAAACCACAGCAGUUACCUGCACCUGGAUUUGAGUCCAGCUCAAGCAUGGUGACCUUGGGCAGGUCCUUCAGGCAGAAGGACUUGAGGCUCUCUGAGCCGAAGUUGUCUUGACUUGAAAGUGAGAAUCCUAACAGUGCCCACUUGAAGGCUUGUUGUGGGGUGAACAUCACAUAGUUUGAAGCCUGAUCCUGUCUGAGUAGGGGUGGCUCCCUCGCCCCUCUGAAUCUUCUAGGCUGGGGCCCUCUGCUCCCCAGAAGAGCAGAGGCUGAGAAAGGGGCAAGUGGCUUCCUGUGUGGCAUGCAAGCCUGCAGCAGGCUGAGUCUGGGGGCAACCCAGGUCUGCUGAUCAGCUGGGAGAACUGGGUGGCCUUCUUCCCCACCCCCACUGCCCUGGGGAGGCCGGCCUCCGGACAGCCUGGGGGCAGGUCCUGCUAUGCCUCCCUUCCUUCCUCAGGGGGACCUGGCCCCCCAGCCUGCAGCUCUGCACACUUACCCUGCCCCCAGGGCCACACCUCACUGGGAGCGGAAGCCUGAGCACAUUUCCCAGGGGUCCGGGCUGGCCAAGGGGUCCAGACUGGGCUCUCUGCUACUGUCUGUGUGGCCAGCUGCUCAUGUCCUUUGUAUGGGAGCAUCAGCUUCCAGCCAUCAAACAAAAGCCCAGGCAGGGCCGGGAUGAAAGCCACACUGGGCCUUGCUUGCUGUGCGUCAUCAGAAAAUGUUCUCCCUGUCUGGGCUUCAGUUUCCAUAUCUGUAUAAUGGGCUUCCAGCAUGUGCCCUUCCCCACCCCUCACCAAGCACAGACCAGAGGCAGGGCCCCCUCAGAGAGGAGAGAGUCGGUCAGAUGAUCUCUAUUCAAACCCAGUUCUGCUCCUUACCAGCUGUGUGACCGUGGGCAAGUCCCUCCACUGACCUGAGCCUCAGUUUCUUCGUCUGUAAAUUGGGGGUCCUAAAAUCAACUUCAGUGGCCUUUGUGGGGAUUAAACGAACUCUUGUGUGUGGAGUGCCUGGCAUGGAUCACUCACUCUCAGCGCAAGUUCCCUUCCCUUGGGGCCGCUGUCCGUCUUCUUACACCCUGAUCUGACCUCACCUUCCACUGCCCAUCUCGCUGCUGCUUCUCCUCCCUUUGGCGAGGUCGACGUGCUCCAGCCUCCAGGCCUUUGCUCACCCUUUGUUCUGCCAGGAAUGCCUUUUCUCCCUCUCGCAUUCCUACCAUUGCAAAGCAUAUUGUCUUCAUUGCUCAGCUCAAAUGCUGCCUUCUCCAGGAAGGCUCUCUGAGGAGCUCUGUGCAAGCAGACAAAAACACGGAUACGGGGGCACCAGAAGGGGCAUCUCUCUGCCCACAUCUCUACUUUCGGCCUGAAUCAGACUCAAACAUGGACAUUUUUCUCCCCCACCUCGCAGUACACAAAAGUGCCCACUAGGUGGUGAUCGAAUGACGAAGUCCCCGUGGGGAUGGGCGCUAAGGGAGGCCAACCAGGCUCCCCCUGCAUUACUCAUUCGUUUAUUUAACGAAUAUUGACUGAGCACCUGCAUGAUACCAGACUGUGGGGCAACCCAGCAACAAGGCCUGACUCUCAAGGAGCUUAUGUUCUAGCUGGAGGCUAGACUGGCGGGAGACACAAAAAACAAGGAAAAAAAUAAAGCAGGAAAAACAUGGGACAGAGAUGAAGGUUACACAGAAAAUGCUGGCCCAGGAUCGCUUGAGGCCAGGAGUUUGAGACCAGCCUGGCCAACAUGGUGAAACCCCGUCUCUACAAAAAAUACAAAAAUUAGCCAGGUGUGGUGGUGUGCGCUGGUAAUCCCAGCUAUUUGGGAGGCUGAGGUGGGAGGAUCCCUUGAGACUGGGCGGCAGAGGUUGCAGUGAGCUGAGAUUUCACCACAGCACUCCAGCCUGGGUGACAGAGUGGGACCCUGUCAAAAAAAAAAAAAAAAAAAAGAAGGAAAGGGAAAGAAAGGAAAAAGAAAAUUCCAGGCCCCUGAGUGUGUCCAGGGUUCUGACUGGAGCAUUCUUUCAGUGCAGACCCACACUUUGAACCUGAGAGACUGGCUGAGCUGGAUGAUUCUCAAAGUGUGCUCUGUGGACCAGCAGCAGCAGCACCCGGGAACUGGAAGGAAAUGCAGGUUCUCUAGCCUCUGCUGAAUGCACUGAAUCAGAAUCUGCAACUUUAACAAGAUCCCCAGGUAAUUCCUUUCCAAGUUAAAGUGAGAAGCUCUGCACAAGUCCAGAGGCUUAGGGACAAAUGACACCCACAAGCCAAAUCUGGCCACCUGUUUUUGUAUGAAUCCCAUGCUAAGAAUGGGUCCUGCUCAGAAAAAAAAAAAGAAAAAAAUCUAAAGAAUAUUUUGUGGUAAAUAAAAGACAUGCGAAUUCAAAUUUUAAUGGCCAUAAAUAAGGUUUUAUUGGAACCUGGCUGCACCCUUUGUUUAUGUAUUGUCUGUGGCUGCUCUUGUGCCAGAAUGGUGACAUUAAGGAGUGGCAACAAAGACAGUAUGGGCCACAGUGUUAAAAUAUUGACUCCCUGGCCCUUUGAAGAAAAAGUCUGCUAGUUCCUGCUCUAGUACAUCUUCCUCACACUUUAUGAAUGAAGAAUCAGGGCCCCGGGGGAGAGAGGCAGAAUCCUGUUCAAGGCCUCAUGGGAGCCCUGCUUUCUCUGCACCCUCAGGGUCCUGCUUCCACAGGCUCAGGCCUUAAGAGGCUGAAAGCCCCCACUUUUUCUGUCUCUUGGGUUGGCUCAGGGUUGAAACCCAGGUUCCAGGCUGUGAGGAAGUCCAGGACACACAGAGAGGUCAUGUGUAGGUGUUCAGGCCAACAGCACAGCCAGGGGCCCAGCUGACAGCCAGCAUCAAUGACCAGAGGUAUGAGUGAGGAAGCCUUCGGAUGACUCCAGGCCAACUCCCGCCUGACUACAGCUACAACCGCACGAAAGAGCCUUUAGGAGAAUCACUGGCUGAGCCCAGUCAACCCCGGAACCAGAAGAGAUGAUAAUGCCAUCCAGCCCUGAGACUUGUUUGGAGGGUGACGCAGCCAAGGAUGACACCCACUGCCCCAGAGGCUGAGGGACUGGCACGUGUAUCUUAGGGUUUGGGCGUGGGAGUGAAGGUCAUCCUGAGGAGGGUCCUUUUUGAGUGUGUUAAGGUGUCUGUGUCCGUGUGGACAGGCUGUCAGAAUGGGCUGGGGGACGUGGUCAGGGACCACUCCCAUUCCCACGGCCUGGGUGCCCCGACCAUCCAUGCUAGGUCUGUUCCGCGCUGGCCACACUGUUCCAGGCAAGGGCCUUUGGUCACACGGACUGGUCUCUGAGACUGGUCUGAUAUGUGUACUCUCAGGAGUCUGGACAGGGGCAGUCUCAAUCCAGAAAUGACCUCUUCAAUACUUGGUGCAGUUCCCUAUAUGAAACGCCCAAUAUUCUGAGCCACCCAGGCCUGGGUCACCUGCUGACUGGCUGGAGGAAGUGCAUGGGACCAUGUGAGGUCACGGCAGCCCCAGGGUUUGCAGUUGGAGUGACCUGCAUCUGCAUCCUGGCUCCCCCGCUUACAAGCUGUUUGACCCUGGUGAGGUUAGAUCAUCUUCCUAAGCUUCGGUCUCUUCAGCCACACAAUGAGCAUAACACUUACCCUGGAGGGUUACUGCGAUUGUCACACAAGGCAGCGUUUGCAUGGGCCCUGGGCCAUGCUUGAAGCUAUGGGGGAGAGAAGUGAGGGGCCCAGGCUCUGGAGCCAGUGGGUUUAAACUCCACUCUACCACUAACAAGACAUUGUUACAAACUUCUGUGCGUCUCAGUUUCCUCAUCUGUAACAUGGGGGUAAUAAUAGCACCUGCCUCCUGGCUUGUUGAGAGGAUAUAUAUAGUGCUUACAACAGCACAACACACGUAUAUGGGUACUUCACAAAUACGAAUCCAUUCAAGGAAACUAACCCUGGUGCCCUGGGAUGGCCGUUGGUCAGAGACACAGAAGCCAAAGCCAGCUUAGGACAAGCAGAGUGGCCCAGGCCUGCCCCUCAGCUCCGCUGGCCUCACUUCUGUUCCAGGGCUGUUCAGUUACCUGCUCCUAGGCCUGGGAGGCCCAGUGGACAACAGAGUGACCUCUUCUCCACUGAUUUGAUCUGAAUCUAUUCUGCCCCAUGAGGGCCCAGAUGAGGGAACUGGUAUGAUAUUCACAGAGAGGUGACAUCACCCACUGAAGAUCACACAGCAAGUCCCUGGGCCACCUGGAUCCCGGCUACAGCUCCACCCUGCUACCUCCCUCUCUUAAGUAACACGUUAAUAAGUGUCUUACCCUCAGACCAUUAUCUGUGUUCCCAGGCCAGGGAACAUUUCUGAAACACAUCAAACAUUGACAAAAGGAGGUGUUUUUCUGUCCCCAGGCCAGGCCUUUCGGCCUCUGUUAACCAGUGAGUGUCCUCUGUUAAUCCUGAGCCCAGCUCCUCCCACACACAAGUACAAACAAGGGCAUUGGGCACGGGAGAAACCUGUCCACCAGGGCCAGGAGGGGACAUGGAAGGUUAAUGGGUCCCCUCCCCCAAAGCAAUGCACACAGCUGGGGCUCAAUAAGUGCUACUGGGUGGUAGGAACGGAGCCAGCUGACGGCACAGGAAGAGGGAUCUGCUAAGCAGAGGAGGCCUGACCUGGGCUUCAUUGGGUAAAACCAGCCAUCAUAAAUAGCUGGCAUUUCGGGAGCUCUUAGUAAGUUCCAGACACUGCCCUGAGCACUGGACAUGGUCACUCACUAACGUUUCCAUGUUUCACCAUCUGUGGGGUGCAUAUGUUGCUCUCCCCAGUCUGCAGACCGGAAGCUGAAGGCAAGAACGAUGAAGGCAUUUGCUCAAGUCACACCAUUACCAAGAGGCCGAGCUUGGAUUCGCACCCAGCACCCUGGCUCCAGACCCAAGCUCUCAACCACAAUACAAGCCUGUGGGAGUGAGAGGGGUGAAAAUAUGAGUGAGGGGUGACUUCUAGGUAUUGGCUUGGGGUGGCUGUCCCUUUGAUGGAUAUGUAGGAGGGGCGCAGGUGUCAGGUGAGGUACUGGGGAGAAGGUGGAUGAAUUGGGUUUGGCAGGUGUUGAGUUCCAGAUACCUGGGGAUGCUUAGGUGGAGGAGGCAGGAGAGAGGUGGCUUAUGGCUCUGAAGCUGGGUGAUGGGGGGUGGAGCUGCUCACUCCAGAGUCAUCAACAUAGAAGUGCAGCCUGGGAGACACCUGAGCGAUGAAGGGGCAAGGCCACAGCUAAGGCAGGGGAAUUGAUAUUUAGUGUGCAAGGACUCAAAAUGACAGCAAGAAAAGAAGUGGAGACUAUUAUUAUUAUUAUUGAGACAGAGUCUCACUCUGUUGCCCAGGCUGGAGUGCAGUGGUGCAAUCAUAGCUUACUGUAACCUCGAACUCCUGGGCUGAAGUGAUCCUCCUGCCUCAGCCUUCUGGGACUCAGCCACCACAACCAGCUAAUUUUUAAAUUUUUCUGUAAAGACGGGGCGGGGGAAUCCUCCCUAUAUUGCCCAUGCUGGUCUUGAACUCCUGACCUCAAGCAGUCCUCCUGCUUUAGCCUCCCAAAGUGCUGGGAUUACAGGAAUCAGCCACCAAACCUGGCCAAAUGCUAUUUUUAUUUAUUUUAUUUUAUUUAUUUUUGAGACGGAGUUUUUUUUGUUUGUUUUUUGUUUUCUUUUGAGACGGAGUCUCGCUCUGUCGUCCAGGCUGGAGUGAAGUGGCGUAAUCUUGGCUCACUGCAACCUCCGCCCCCUGGGUUCAAGCAAUUAUCUUGCCUCAGCCUCCUGAGUAGUUUGGAUUACGGGCACCUGCCACCAAGCCCGGCUAAUUUUUUUGUAUUUUUAGUAGAGACGGGGCUUCACUAUGUUGGCCAGGCUGGUCUCGAACUCCUAAGCUCAGGUGAACCACCCGCCUCAGCCUCCCAAAGUGCUGGGAUUACAGGUGUGAGCCACUGCGCCUGGCCAAGUGCUAUUUUUAAAUGAAUGUUUUCUUUAUUUUGAGAGUAGAUAAUAAAUGCACAAGAUACAAAUUCCCAAAGGGUGAAAAUUGUGUCUCUCUUACUCUGUCCCACUUCACCAGGUCUUCUCCCCAGAGACACUGUCCCAGUUUCUUCUUUUUCCUUUUUUUCUUUCUUUUUUUUUUGUUAGAGAUAGGGUCUCCCUCUGUUGCCCAGGCUGGAGUGCAGUGGCACAAUCACAGUUCACUGCAGCCCCAACCUGCCAGGCUCAAGCAAUUUUCCUACUUCAGUUUCCCAAGUAACUGGGACUACAGGUGCACACCACUAUGCCUGGGUAAUGUAAACAAAUUUUUUUUUUGUAGAGACAGGGUCUCGCUGUGUUGCCCAGGCUUGUCUCAAACUCCUGGGCUCAAGCAAUGCUCCUGACUCAGCCUCCCAAAGUGCUGGAAUUACAAACCAUGAGCCACUGCACCUGGCCUGUUCCCGAAGAAACAAGAAAGAUGUUUCUUGUACAUCUUUCAAGGGAUAUUUAACACACAGGAAUAGGUGGCCAAGUGUCGUGGCUCACGCGUGUAAUCCCAGAACUUUGAAAGUGGAUUGCUUUGAGCCCAGGAGUUCGAGACAAGCCUGGUCAACAUAGUGAAACCCUGUCUCUACAAAAAAUACAAAAAAUUAGCUGGGUGUGGUGGCACGUGCCUGUGGUUCCAGCUGUUCAGGAGGCUGAGGUGGGAGGAUCAUUGGAGCACAGGAGGUGGAGGUUGCAGUGAGCCAAGAUCGCACCAUUGCACUCCAGCCUAGAUAACAGACUGAGAUCCUGUCUCAAAAAAAAAAAAAAAAAAAAAAAAGAAUAGGCAUAUACUUUCUCAUAUAAAUGGUAACAUAUGCACUUUGCAUCACCCUGUUUU